rnacentral:rRNA from 1 species
UACGUAGGGGGCGAGCGUUGUCCGAAGUUACUGGGCGUAAAGCGCGCGUAGGCGGCUCUUUAAGUCCGGCGUGAAAGGUUCAGGGCUCAACCCGAACAGUGCGCUGGAGACUGGGGAGCUUGAGGAUGGGAGAGGGAAGCGGAAUUCCGGGUGUAGCGGUGAAAUGCGUAGAUAUCCGGAGGAACACCGAUGGCGAAGGCAGCUUCCUGGCCCGUAUCUGACGCUGAGGCGCGAAAGCUAGGGGAGCAAACAGGG